GUCAGGAUGGCCGAGCGGUCUAAGGCGCCAGACUCAAGGAUAAAACCUUCCGGUACUCACGGGAUUUCUGGUCUCCGAAUGGAGGCGUGGGUUCGAAUCCCACUUCUGACA
rnacentral:tRNA from 1 species